GUCUCAGGGCCAGGGUGCAUAGGGCCUGGUAGGUCAUGGUAAAUAGCAAAUAUGUUAUUAAAAUGUUCUUACUUUCCAUUAUGGAUAUAAUUGUCAUAACUAAUUCUUAGAAACAAUGAAAAAUAAAUUAUGCCCAUUGGAGGGGAUUUAUAUAUAAUUUUUCUGCAAAAAUUUUAAUAGCUCAGAAUGAUCACCUUCACUUGACAUUUGACAUGUACUACAUAAUUAUUAAAAGGUAACAUUUACAAAAUUAAUUAAGGGCUUCAUACAUUUUUCCAAGAACCACUCUUAAUCCUUUGAUAUUUAACUCAUUCCCUUCGGUAUUGACAUGUCACCAUCCUUGUCAAUUUUUUAUUCCUGUUAUUGCCAAAACCUCGUUUAUCACUGGUCUUGAAUGUGAUUCAAACCAGUCUCCACCAUCACUUCCACUGACUUCAUGGAAUCCUGAAUCUUUUACACAAAUUAAAACUUUGAUUAGCAAUCCAUUUACAUAUCUGCAUUUUGUUGUCAGAUGAAUCAGAGAGAGAUUGUCACACAGAGGUGGACUUGCUGUACACUAACAUUCAUUGGAGGGUGGGGGGAUGUUUGAAUGGAAACCAAUAUCAUAACCAGUCCUCCACUUGUUUAUAUUUUUGGUAUCUCAACUUUGCCUCGCUGGACAUCUUUGAAUCUUCGGGAGCUCCGAGAGGUCGAUCACUCAGAUGAUGAGGCCUCUUUGGUUGCCACAUCAGACCAUCUGGGAGACUAGAAUUCCACUGAGGACACUUUGGGAAACACUGAUCUACAACUUACUUCUAGAACUCCAGGACUGUAGGUUUCUCAACUCAUCUUGAACUACUAUUUAGUCAAUUAGUGUCUCCAAAAUAACCGGAUGUUGUAUGAUUAUUCACCAGUAUUUUCCUAUUCCAAGUUGAAUAAUACAAAAUAUCAGAACAAAACAAAGCCCCAGACACUAUAAAGAUAAACUUUAAACCUGAUUUAAAAUGAAAACAAAUAAUGUUAGAAGAAUUGGUUAAAAAUAAGAAUUAAAAUGG
rnacentral:lncRNA from 1 species